rnacentral:lncRNA from 1 species
AUUCAGUUGAGAGAGAAACUGUCUCUCUGGAGCUGAAGAGGAAAGGAGAGAGAAGUGUGGCUGAAUCUAAGAUCAAUUCCCAAGGCAAUAGCCUGUGAAGAUCCUUUGGCUGUGGUGAGGAUUUAUUUUUCAAUCAUCUGCUGGUCAGGGAUUGAGGAGCUGUCUUCAACUUGGAGGAGUUAUCAUCUGUGGACAUUUCACCUUGGAUUCCUGUUUUGGCUCCCAGAGACUCUAUUAUGAGGAAACUGAGGCAAACAGAGUCAAGGGACUUGUCCAGAGUCCCAAAGCUAUUUGACACCAUUGGUAAAGAGUUCAGUCUAAUAAGGGGAAUGGCAUGGCAGUGCAGUGAGCAGUGGAAAUGAAGUAGCUCAUCCUCCUACCCUCCUUCGGGAAUGGAAGAGAAGAAAGCCAUCCCUUAUGAAAAAGAAUUUUUAAAAAGAAAUAAAAGGAAACAUAUGAGGAAAGAAAAGCCAUCAAAGAUGAUCAAAGCAUCAAAAAAAGAAUCUGAUGCAAUGCUCCAUUCCUGUUUUCCAACUUCUGCAAAGGAGAAGUGAAAGCAGAUGCUUUUCCUGGCAAGUACUACAGUGUGGGAAGUAUGAUGCCACCUGAGAAGCAACACAAACCUAGAUACAAAUCAUUCUACUCAAGUCUUGGAGCUGUCCUCAAAGAAAAACAAACUUGGCACUAGACAUAAACUAAAUGAGUGCCAAGAGCUGCCAGCACAUUAAGACCAAAGCCCAACAGAAACAGAGCCCCUCGGCAACUUCUAGAGGGAAUAUCAGCUAAGGAGGAAAGAGAAUUGGAGUUGUG